CUAUAAAUAAGUCACUGUCAAACAGUGAAUGAAGCAAUGGAUAUCUAGCUAUAACUGAAAGAAAAAAUAUAAGAUCUCAAUAUUUAUGAAUUGAUAAAGCCUAAAGAUUUGAACUUUAGUCUAAAGGUUCUCUCACUAUUUUAUACGAAUUGGUAGCCUCUACUUCCAAUUCAAAUAAUUACUUUAAUUUCUUAGUGGGUACUAGAAUCCAUACAGAUUACAUACAGGCCCGA
rnacentral:lncRNA from 1 species